rnacentral:rRNA from 1 species
CUUGACACUGAACAUUGAGCCUUGAUGUGUAGGAUAGGUGGGAGGCUUUGAAGUGUGGACGCCAGUCUGCAUGGAGCCGACCUUGAAAUACCACCCUUUAAUGUUUGAUGUUCUAACGUGGACCCGUAAUCCGGGUUGCGGACAGUGUCUGGUGGGUAGUUUGACUGGGGCGGUCUCCUCCUAAAGAGUAACGGAGGAGCACGAAGGUUGGCUAAUCCUGGUCGGACAUCAGGAGGUUAGUGCAAUGGCAUAA